GGUGAGGCAGAAGAGCAGGAGUAGUGCACGUUAGUGGCUUGCAUUUAAAGAAAAAUAAAAUAAAAAUUGUGCUCAUGCUGGCAAAAGACUGAACAUCCAUGGCUCUCUUCUUUCUUUCCUCUGAGUAAAAAAACUUGCCCUCCUCUCAUGUGGAAAGGUAAACACAAACCCACGCUACAGAGCAUGAAAAUAAAACCAAAAGAGAGAACCUUGUUUAGAACCCCAAUUUUGUAUACAAUUCCUAGGUUUGAAUCGAGAGGUAAGCAAAGUUUAACGCAUCAUAAGAGAAAGGAACCCAGAUCGCCGUGGUUUAGGAGCGAAGUGAAGGGAGAUAGAAUAGUUAUACCUGUAGUGCCAACUGGAUCUGCUAUCUUUGCUCCUUCAAGUGACAGACCUGUGAUUGAAUCUUGAAAAAACUGUAGAAGACUUUGAUGAUUCUAUGGUUUUCUUUUCCUCUUUCUACGCUUUCUUUCCAGGGAUUUGACCCACACAUGCACUCAACAAAUUAAGUUGACAAUGGCCAACCGCAACUUGCUACGCCUCUUCUUCAGUACUGUCACAGGAUGCACACCAUCCAAGCAAGAACUUGGAUUCAACAUAGAGAAGUCCAAGCUCUUCUUCGGAUGAAAGAGAACUGUUGAUGCUAUUGUCUUCCUCUGGUCAUGGUAGUACUGUCACAGGAUGCACACCAUCCAAGCAAGAACUUGGAUUCAACAUAGAGAAGUGUUGGCGUGGCCAAAUUUAUAAGGAUAUUGGGGCUUAGAUUUGUGGCAAGAUGGGGAGUACUUUUUUGCAAUAAAGGAAAAAGAGGAAGAAGAAAGGGAGGGGGCGACGAGGCUGCUCUCGAUUAUAAUACUUCUAUAUUUACCCAUGAAAUUUUCGAUGAAAACUAGUGAAGGAAUACUUCCCUCUGUAAUUAAGCUGAAAAAUAAUGACAUGUCAAAGUUUUUUGUAACUAAA